rnacentral:rRNA from 1 species
AGGGCCGCGGUAAUUUGACCGUGCAAAGGUAGCAUAGUCAUUAGUCUUUUAAUUGGAGGCUUGUAUGAAAGGUUUGAUGAGGGGUGUUCUGUCUUUUAUAUUUGUUAAGAAUUUAACUUUUAAGUGAAAAGGCUUAAAUUUUCUAGUGGGACGAUAAGACCCCAUAAAACUUCAUAAAUUAAAUUUAGAUAAAAUAAUUUUUUUUAAAUUUAUCUUUUUUGGUUUAUUUUGUUGGGGAGACAAUAAUAUAAUUUUAACUGUUAUAAAAAUAUAAUAAUAAUAAUUAGAUUUUGAUCUUUUAAUAUGGAUUUAAAGUUUAAGUUACUUUGGGGAUAACAGCGUAAUUUUCUUUGAGAGUUCUAAUCGACAAGAGUAGUUGCGACCUCGAUGUUGAAUUAAAAUUUCAGUUUGGUGUAGCCGCUUUACUGGUGGGUCUGUUCGACCUUUAAAAUUUU